UGUACUUGUGUGUGUGUGUGCAUUCAUGCCUGCUGCUGGAUAUGUAGUUACAGUUCCCAGGCUUUAGGUACCUGCUGGACUAGGAAGAACCCAAACUUGUCUGCCCCUGCUCUUGACUAACAGGUGACUUGGACAUGGUUUCUCUGUGUGGCCCUGGCUGUCCUGGAACUCACUCUGCAGACCACGCUGGCCUCAACUCACAAGAUCCAUCUGCCUCUGCCUCCCGAAUGCUUGGAUUAAUGGUGUGCACCACCAUCAUCACCACACCCUGCUGGAUUAUUGUGUCCAUUAUGUACAACCAAAUUUCUGUUUCCUUUAAUGUGAAUACCACCCUGUCCCUGGUAAUUGUGAAGAAGGUGGGAACCAUACAGAUCAGAGCUUUAGUUACUGGCUCCCUGUCAACACCCCUCUCAUGGCCACAAUUCUUUCCUUGUUAUCAUGCAGCUACCAUUUCUUGUUAGUGAAAAAAUACUUAAGCUCUGUUCAUUGAUAAAAUGUAUGCCCUUCUGAUCUCAAUAACAUACCCAACAAGUCACCUUGAUUGUAGACUUGGAGAAUGAACUGUUUGAUUUGUAUCAGUAUAAUUAAUUGCUAUUUAAGCAUGACUGCAGAGUUGAGAAUUUUACCCAAUACAUUCAGACAAUAUGUUCCUAGUGCCCAAACUUGGCAUUAAAGAUACAAUGGUAAACAAACACAUAGUGUCCUGCGCUUGUGGGCUUCUUUAAUUAAAAGGAAAGGCAAAUGUGGAGGAGGAAAUGCCAUUUCAGAUGAAACUGGCUAUAGUACGAUUAAGUGUGUGCUUUAGUGAGGCCUAGGAGUAUGCAGAGAGAGGAUGGUCAGGUAGAUGAAGAUGUGUGAGCCCUGAUAGUAUGCAGAGAGGGGAUCGUCAGAUAAAUAGAGAUGUGUGAU
rnacentral:lncRNA from 1 species